AUCCAUAUAAAUGGAGAAGAACAAUCUAAAAUGUGAUAUUACAUUGUACAUAGAGAAGAAGAGCAAUGUAAUGUGCAAUUUUAUCUAAAAGAAGAUUCAAAGCUCUGUACCUUUGUCCAGGAGUCUUUAAUUGAAUAGGGGCCAAUUGGACCAGGCUAGCAAACUGAAUUGGACCAUUGCAAGCUUCUUGGGCCAAGAGCUAUGGCCACACAUGAACGUUUAAAUGUUAAACAAACACAAAUACUUUUCGUGGGAACAUCAAGAAUUUAAAGGUGCUAGCUGUAAUUGUUAGUACACAAGAAAUCAGCAGAGUAUGUAGCAUUAGGACUUUCACCUGCCUGACUGAGACUGCAUGCAAGCCAGGUCAAUUUUCCACUGAAACUCCACACUAGUAUAUUAUAAAAGAUAAAAUAUGGAAAGUUGUAUUAAUGCUACACCAACUGUUCUUCAUACUGAAUUAGCAUCUGCACUACAAAUAGUAAUAACUGAAGUAUGACAGACUAUGAUUUGAUUGGGGUUUCUUUUUUCUAUUAUUAUUAUUAUUCGUUAGGAAAGGGGAGGGGAGGGGAGGAGAGGGCGUAUUCAAGAGCUUUGUAGACUAAAAGAACUACUUUUAAGUUCAAGAAAAAAAAUUCAAUAAUACAAUACAACACUGCUGGCUUUAGACGCUCAGAUUACCCCUCCCCC